AUCGGAUUUCGGCGGCGUAAUAACCCAGUUAGAGGAACCUGCCCAAUUAACGAUAAACCACGAAUACUUUACUUUUAUUAGAAAUCAGUUUGUAUAUCGCUGUUGUUUGCUAGUUCUAUUAGGAAAUUAGCAAUAAUGUUUAUGACAUUUACUUCAAGUAAAGAUGCAGCUUAUGUAAAAGUUAGAGGUGGGUUACAUUUUAAGAAUAAAUGGAUAAUAUAUAAGAAUUUUGUAAUUUGAAAUUGGAUUUAAUUGUAAAUUUUUUUUUAUUUGAUAUAGGCACUAUUAUGUGUACACACCGCCCGUC
rnacentral:rRNA from 1 species